GACCCGCCGUGCUCCCUGCCGGCCACAGAGACAGUGCAGGUGCUCUGCCCCCAGGGUGAAGACGGCCCCCCUGGAAACGGCACCGAGGGCUUCCCUGGCUUCCCCGGCUAUCCAGGCAGCAGGGGCCCCCCUGGGCUGAACGGCACCAAAGGCUACCCCGGCCUCAAGGGGGACGAGGGUGAAGCUGGGGACCCUGGCGAGGAUAACAAUGACAUGGCACCUCGUGGCGUCAAAGGGGCAAAGGGGCACCGGGGCCCCGAGGGCCCGCAGGGACCUCCAGGAAGCACAGGACCACCCGGGCCAGACGUAAGUGGGGACUCCGCGGCUGUCCUCUGAGCCUGACCACUGCACACCAGGGGCUGUCGUAG
rnacentral:lncRNA from 1 species